CAAAAAUCAAGAAAAAACAAAUUCUGAGUGUGGUGGUACAAUCCAGUCAGGAUGUGAGUAGUCCUGCAGUGAAGGCAACCAUCUUAGAAAAGGUCCAGGAGAAGCUGAAGUUGAAGGGUAUGGGAGCAAACAUCACACUGAAAUGGAGACAGCAACCACAUGGAGAAGUCUUCCAGAAAAAAUACAAUGGCUGUAAAGAAGUGUAAGGUGGCCAAACAAAG